UUGACUAGGAAUAGUGAAAAAGAUAAGGUUUUACUCUUUAUUAAGCACCACACAGCCCAAUUGUGUCAGUUUUCUCACCAUAGACAAAGCUGAGAAUUUGGCUGUUAGUCUUUAUAAUAUUCUUUAACAAUGUCUCGCGCUUCUUCUUUCAGAGUUUGCAAGUAUGAUGUCUUUGUGAGUUUUAGAGAGAAAGAUACAGGUAGAACUUUUGUGAAGCGUCUUUAUACUGCUCUGCAAGAUAGAGGAAUCAACACUUUCAUCAAUGAUAUAGAGGAGGCUAGAUUGGCGGUCGUGAUAUUUUCCAUAAACUAUGCAUACUCAAGAUGGCACUUAGAGAAGCUUGCACACAUCAUAAAGUGCAAAAAUGAAUUGGACCAGAUUGUGAUUCCAGUCUUCUAUGGUGUCAGUCCAUCAGAUGUGUGCCAUCAAAAUGGCCAUUUCGCUGAAUCCUUUUCCCAGCACGAGAAAAUUUACAAAGAUGAUUUGGAGAAGGUUCAAAGAUGGAGGGAUGCAUGUGCGGAGGCAGGAAAAAUAUCAGGGUUUGAUUUACAAGAUUUCGAGGAUCAGGUAAUAUUUAUUAACCUGAUUGUCAACGCGAUUAUUCAUAGUUUUCCCUUCACACAACAUCAAGUGGGAAUUAAAUCUCGCGUAAAGGAAUUAACAUCAUUGUUGAGUGUUGAAUUAGGAGGUGUUUAUUUUGUUGGGAUAUGGGGAAUGUGUGGCUCAGGGAAGACAACUGUUGCAAGAGCAAUUUUUGAUGAGAUGUCUGAUCAAUUUGAAGGAUCUUGUUUUCUUGGAAAUGUUCGGAAAAUUUCAAAAAAGGAUGGGGUGGAAGCCCCAGAACAUUUGCAAAAGAAGCUUCUUUCACAGAUCUUGAAGCAACAAUCACCGAAUAUAGCAAGUGCUAAUGAAGGGGCCAAAAUGAUAAGCAGUACUCUACGUUUUAAGAAGGUUUUGAUUGUUCUUGAUGACGUGGAUAACGAUAAUCAAUUGGAAUACUUAGUUGGAAAGCGUGACUGGUUUGGUGAUGGGAGUAGGAUCAUUACAACAAGUAGAAACAUUGAUUUACUACAAAAUCACAAUGAGUUAUAUCAUGUCCCUGAACUGGAUUUCGAUGACGCUCUUGAACUCUUCAGUUGGCACGCCUUUCAGCAAGAGACUCCUGAUCCGGAGUUUGAAAACCUUUCGAUUUGGGUAGUAAUUUAUGCUAAUGGUUUACCCUUAGCUCUUGAGGUUUUGGGCUCUUUUCUCUACAAAGGAGGCAUGAAUGAGUGGAGAAGUGCAUUAGAUAGACUCAAAGACAUUGGAGAGGGGGAAAUUAUUAAGCAACUUAGCUUAAGUCUAGAUGGAUUGAGCUACAAAAACAAGGAUAUCUUUCUUCGUAUUGCAUGCUUCUUCAGAGGAAAACAGAUAAAUGAUGUGAUAACAAUACUGAAUAGCUGUGGUUUUAAAUCAGAAAUUGGAAUUGACAUCCUUGUUAGAAAAUCACUUUUAUAUAUUUCAGAUGGAAUGGUUGAGAUGCAUGAUUUAAUACAACAAAUGGGUCAACAAGUGGUACGUGAUACCGAUCAGGACCAGUCAUGGGAACACAGUAGAUUAUGGCAUGACAAAGAUAUAGAAACCGUUUUUUCUGAAAAUCUGAUAUCUAUGGAGGCCAAUGAGGAAUCUUGUGAAAUUGGCUCGUCUAUUUCGAGAAAACGAGCUAAAAGAAGCACUUCAGUUGUUUGGAACACUUUCUUGAAAUUGCCUCGUACUAGUGAAAGUGAAAGAUUAAAAGCACAAUGUCAGAUUCCAAGAUCUCAUACGUUUCCAAUGGUUUCCCACAAAGAAUUGGUCCAAAAAUGGAAAUAUGAUGCCUUCUUGAGUUUUAGAGGAGAAGAUACCCGCAGUAACUUCGUUGCGCAUCUUUACAAACGAAUGGAAGACAUAGGAAUUUACACAUUCAAAGAUGAUGUCAAACUUGAAAGAGGAAAGUUUAUUUCACCAGAGCUUCUGAAAGCAAUUGAGGAGUCAAAAUUUGCGAUUAUUAUCUUCUCUGAGAACUAUGCUUCAUCCACAUGGUGCUUGCAGGAACUCACCAAAAUUAUGGAGUGUGUUGAAAAGAACGGACAGGAAGCUAUCCCAAUAUUCUACAAUGUUGACCCAUCAGAUGUACGCAUGCAAAGAAAUAGCUUCGCUGUAGCGAUGGCUGAACACGAGGCAGAUCUCAAGGGUAGUGAUAUGGAGAAGGUGCAGAGGUGGAAGGAUGUUUUACAUAAAGCAGCCAAUAUAGCAGGAUGGGAUGUGCGUAAAACUGCAAAUGGGGAUGAGGCAAAAUGUAUUGACCUGAUUGUCAACAAGAUUUUUUGUAGUGUGGAAGAGACAAUUUCAAGCUUUGCAAAGCAUCUAGUGGGAAUCAAAUCUCGUGUAAAGGAAGUAAAAUCAUUGUUGAAUGUUGAAUUCGGCGGUGUUUACUAUGUUGGGAUAUGGGGAAUGGGUGGCGUAGGGAAGACAACUGUUGCAAGAGCAAUUUUUGAUGAGAUUUCUUAUCUAUUUGAAGGGUCUUGUUUUCUUGCAAAUGUUAGGGAAAUUUCAAAGAAGUAUGGCCCCGAAGGCCCAGAACAUCUGCAAAAGAAGCUUCUUUCACAAAUCUUGAAGCAACAAUCACCGAAUAUAUCAAGUGCUAAUGAAGGAGUCAAAAUGAUGAGCAGAAUGCUACGUUUUAAGAAAGUUUUGAUCGUUCUUGAUGACGUGGAUAACAACGAUCAGUUGGAAUACUUAGUUGGAAAGUGUGACUGGUUUGGUGAUGGCAGCAGGAUCAUUACAACUAGUAGAAAUAAUGAAUUACUUCGCAAGCAUGAUAAGUUGUAUCGUGUCCCUGAAUUGGCUAUCCAUGAGGCUCUUGAACUUUUCAGUUGGCACGCCUUUCAGCAAGGGACUCCUGAUAAGGAGUUUGCAAACCUCUGCAUUUCUGUAGUAAAUUAUGCUAAUGGUUUACCCUUAGCUCUUGAGGUGUUGGGCUCUUUUCUCUACAGACGAGGCAUGAAUGAGUGGAAAAGUGCAUUAGAUAGACUUGAAGAUAUUGGAGACGGGAAAAUCGUUAAGCAACUCAGUUUAAGUCUAGAUGGAUUGAGCCCUGAAGAUAAGGAUAUAUUUCUUGAUAUUGCAUGCUUCUUUAGAGGGAAAAAGAAAGAUGAUGUGAUAACAAUACUGAAUAGCUUUGGCUUUAAAUCAGAAAUUGGAAUAGAUAUCCUUAUUAGAAAAUCAGUUUUGUAUAUUUCAGAAGGAAUGGUUGAGAUGCAUGAUUUAAUAGAACAAAUGGGUCAACAAGUGGCACGUAAUAUUGAUCAGGACCAGCCAUGGAAGCACAGCCGAUUAUGGCAUGGCAAAGAUAUAGAAACAGUUUUUUCUGAAAAUCUGUGGACAGACUCAGUUAAAGGCAUAACGGUACCAAUUGGCUCAGACCAACAUAUAUGCAAGUGGAGCAAAGCUUUCAGAAAUAUGCCUUGCCUUAGGUUACUCAUUGUCAAAGGGGAGGAGGUCCGACAUUAUGAACCAGUUUCUAACACAAUUGAAUAUCUACCCAGUAGCUUGAAAUGGCUUGAUUGGUCUUACUACAGUUUUGAAUCUUUACCAGCAAAUUUUCAACCACGAAACCUUGUUGGGCUCAACAUGACUUUUAGUUCUCUUAUUGAAUUUUGCAAAGAACCAAAGGCAUUUAACAAGUUGACAAUCCUCAACUUAAGUUUUUCAGAAAAUUUAAUCCGAACACCCUGUUUUUCCGAGACUCCAAACCUGAAGAGGAUUAUACUGAAAAGUUGUUUAAGCUUGGUUGAGGUUCAUCCGUCCAUUGGCAAUCUCAAAAAGCUUAUUUUUCUGAACAUGGAGAACUGUAAAAAUCUCAAGAUUUUACUGAGCAGCAUUCAAAUGGAAUCUCUUGAAAGCCUCAACCUCUCUGGUUGUGAGAAAUUAGGAGAAUUUCCAGAAAUUAGGGGGAACAUGGAAUUGCUGUCGGAGCUUCUUUUGGGACGUACAACAAUAUGGGAGUUACCCUCAUCAAUAGGACGGCUCAUUGGCAUCAGCUUGCUUGAUUUGCGUUCAUGCAAAAAUCUUGUAAGACUCCCAGCCAGCAUUACUGAGAUGAAAAAGCUGAAAAUUUUGAUCCUUAAGGGCUGCUUAAAACUUGCAGCCUUUCCUGAAAACCUGGGUGAUCUAGAAGAGUUGGAGGAGCUCUAUGCUGGUAAUACCGCGAUUUGGAAAUUACCAGAUUCUGUUGGAGAAUUAAGCAGGCUUAAGGUCCUAUCAUUAAGAAGAGGACGGAAGGUAAAGUGUCGAUACUCUAGGAAUUUGAAAUUCCCGAUUUCAUUAAAUUGUUUGUUGGGAUUGAAAAGCUUAGAUCUCAGUGGAUGCAAUACAUCUGGCGAACAAAUUUGUCCUCUUAGAUACUUGACUUCUUUAUUGGAACUAAACUUAAGCAGAAGCAAACUUACUUCUUUACCUAGUAUAGCUGAUUUUCCCCGACUCCGAUAUCUCAACAUAACACACUGUCAGGAACUAAAGGAACUUCCCAAACUUCCUCCAAGUAUAAAGGAACUGUAUGCAGAAGAUUUUUUGGGCAUACAGAGUAUUGUUGCUCUGUGGUCUUGCCCGUUGUUGUAUUUGGUCUCAUUCACCAACUAUUCUUUUGAGCAACAGCCUUAUACAGAAAAGAGCACUGAUAGCUCAGUUUUGGAUCAAAUUCUCAUUUCUUUUCUCUCAGACGCUAAGGUUAAUGUGGUCAACCCCCCUAACUAUGAUCGGAAGGGGAUUUCUAUCGUCUUUCCUGGAUGUGCAAUUCCCACAUGGUUUGAACAUCAAACUGUUAAGGAAAAGAUCUUGGUUGAACUGCCUGAAGACUGGUUUGAUUAUAAUUUUCAGGGCUUUGCUAUAUGCUGUGUCACUAGCAUGGGAGCGGGUGUCCACGAUCCUAGUUCGGGGUUAUCAGGGAAGUAUGACUCUACUUUCAUAAAUGCCAAAUUGAUGUGCAGUAAUAAUCCGGAGAAGCUUAAAGUGCUGGAGAAAGAAUGUAAAGUGGGCACUGCAUCCAGAACUCCUGGCUGUUGUGUUUGCUUUGCCUACUUGCCGUUGUAUUUUCUUCUGCAGGCGUCUGGCGCAGAUGCUAGAAACCUUAACCAGUAUGGCCUAUUUGAGGCAUCUAUCAACAAUCGCAUUGCAACACAGUGGGGAGUUCAUCUGAUUUAUAAGAUUGAUAGACAAUUUUUCAGAAGCAGAAUAGAUGAAGCAUUGCUUGGACCGAACAUUCGUUGAUCCAUUCGAAACUGAGUCUACUCAAACUUUCCGUCACUUGGCGAUAGAAUGAGCUUGAGGCAUUGCUGCAACUAGCUCUAUAUGCUGGUGUCUUCAUGGGACUACCUAGAGUUUAAGAUUUCCAAGCUCGGGAGGAUAAGCAUUAAGUAGUUAAGGAGACGACAAGAUGAUUUACUGAAACAAUGGCUACUGCAACUGGCUAACCAGAAUGUGCAAUUCCCAACUUGUGGUUAAAUUAUCUUAGCAGAGAGGACACAGUAUUGGCUAAUUUGCCGAAGAAUGGUAUAAUGACAACUUUGUUGAGUUUGUUGUAUGGUGCAAAAGUUACACCCAGUAUUGUUAUCAUUUACUCCUACAAUCCAUGGCAUGUCAUGUUGUGUGCUGGAAAUUGGAGACCGUGCAGUAACAGAGAUUUGAGAUCAGAAAUGAUGCAAGCCGAGCUUCAUCAAAGCUUUCCACACAAAGCCAAGCUAAGGAGCUUAAGGACCUUCAAGGCUUAUGCGUGAGGAUGGAGAAUUGGGAGCGAUCUUUGGGGGCAUUUGAGGGAUUCAACCUACUUGAAGACAAAAAAGCUCAAGUAGUUGAAGGAGAGAAGCAUGGGAUCAGAUAAGAGAGGGUCAAGGGUGGAAUAGAGCAGAAGAUGGCUAUUUAUGCAAAGAUGCUAUUCAUUAAAUAGAAGCCAUCAUCCACAAGGAAGACCCUUAUUUCAUUAAGGGUAUUUUUGUAAUAACACUAGUCUUUUAGUCUUAGCCUAACUUAGUAUAAAAGUAACCUUAUGUCAUUUUAGAGUUAGCUUUUGAUGAAUGAUGAAUAUUAUGUUAUUUUCUCUAGAGAGAGAUUUGAGAGAAGCUUGGUGAAGCUUUUUGUUGAACCUUUUUGUUGAACCUUGUUCGGAAAAGGAGGUUGCUUGAGAUUGCUUGCAAUUCCCUUGAGUUCUUCUUCAUAGGUUUAUGUGCUUAUCUAUGAUAUUCAAUUGAAGUCCAUAGUUUAAUAUACUUUGGGUUGCUUUUGA